AUUGAACGCUGGCGGCAUGCUUUACACAUGCAAGUCGAACGGCAGCACGGGCUUCGGCCUGGUGGCGAGUGGCGAACGGGUGAGUAAUGCAUCGGAACGUACCGUGUAGUGGGGGAUAACGUAGCGAAAGUUACGCUAAUACCGCAUACGCCCCGAGGGGAAAGUGGGGACCGCAAGGCCUCACGCUAUAUGAGCGGCCGAUGUCGGAUUAGCUAGUUGGUAGGGUAAAGGCCUACCAAGGCAACGACGGGUAGCCGGCCUUAGAGGGUGGUCGGCCGCACUGGGACUGAGACACUGCCCAGACUCCUACGGGAGGCUGCAGUCGAGAAUCUUCCGCAAUGGACGAAAGUCUGACGCAGCGACGCCGCGUGGGGGAUGAAGGUCUUCGGAUUGUAAACCCCUUUCGGGAGGGAAGAUGGAACGAGCAAUCGUUCGGACGGUACCUCCAGAAGCAGCCACGGCCAACUUCGUGCCAGCAGCCGCGGUAA
rnacentral:rRNA from 1 species